GGGUCCGUAGGUUCGUCGUGCCACCGGUACGUACUGGUCUCACUGAUUCCUCCUUCCUGAAGAACCGUAAUGCCAUUAAUUUGGUGUUGCGGGGAAACAGGACUGUUACUUUGAAAAAAUUAGAGUGUUUAAAGCAAGCUAACGCUUGAAUACAUUAGCAUGGAAUAAUGUAAUAGGACGAUCGAUCCUAUUUUGUUGGUUUCUAGGAUUGACGUA
rnacentral:rRNA from 1 species